rnacentral:rRNA from 1 species
GAAACCGGGUGAUCUAGCCAUGGGCAGGUUGAAGGUUGAGUAACAUCAACUGGAGGACCGAACCGACUAAUGUUGAAAAAUUAGCGGAUGACUUGUGGCUAGGGGUGAAAGGCCAAUCAAACUCGGAGAUAGCUGGUUCUCCCCGAAAGCUAUUUAGGUAGCGCCUCGGACGAAUACUACUGGGGGUAGAGCACUGUUAAGGCUAGGGGGUCAUCCCGACUUACCAACCCUUUGCAAACUCCGAAUACCAGUAAGUACUAUCCGGGAGACACACGGCGGGUGCUAACGUCCGUCGUGGAGAGGGAAACAACCCAGACCGCCAGCUAAGGUCCCAAAGUAUUGCUAAGUGGGAAACGAUGUGGGAAGGCUCAGACAGCUAGGAUGUUGGCUUAGAAGCAGCCAUCAUUUAAAGAAAGCGUAAUAGCUCACUAGUCGAGUCGGCCUGCGCGGAAGAUGUAACGGGGCUAAGCAAUACACCGAAGCUGCGGCAAUGCCUUUUAGGUAUUGGGUAGGGGAGCGUUCUGUAAGCCGUUGAAGGUGGUCUGUAAGGGCUGCUGGAGGUAUCAGAAGUGCGAAUGCUGACAUGAGUAACGACAAAGGGGGUGAAAAACCUCCUCGCCGGAAGACCAAGGGUUCCUGUCCAACGUUAAUCGGGGCAGGGUGAGUCGACCCCUAAGGUGAGGCCGAAAGGCGUAAUCGAUGGGAAACGGGUUAAUAUUCCCGUACUUCUGACUAUUGCGAUGGGGGGACGGAGAAGGCUAGGUGGGCCAGGCGACGGUUGUC